rnacentral:lncRNA from 1 species
GGUGAGGCUGAGGAGUAACCCCUGGCCUUCCUCCCGGGCAGUUCUGGGAUCGCUGCAAGCUCUUCCUGAUGCCGGCCAAGCACCAGCCCGACUACGUGUUCCUGCGGCACGUCCCGCUGCGCCGCAUCCACCUCUUCACGCUGGUGCAGAUCGUCUGCCUGGCCGUGCUCUGGAUCCUCAAAUCCACCGUGGCCGCCAUCAUCUUCCCCGUCAUGGUAACCCCGUCCUUGAUCCAAGUGGGGUUUGCUGGGAUUUAAUGGAAUUUUUGGCAUGGUUCCACCAUGGCUGCCAUCAUCUUCCCUGUCAUGGUGAUCCCAUCCUACAUUGGAAGGGUUUAGUAGAAUUUUUGGUGUGGUCCCACCAUCAUCAUCUUCCCCGUCAUGGUGAUCCCAUCCUUGAUCCAAAGGGGUUUUUUUGGGAUUUAAUGGAAUUUUUGGCAUGGUUCCAUCAUGGCUGCCAUCAUCUUCCCCGUCAUGGUAACCCCGUCCUUGAUCCAAAUGGGGUUUGCUGGGAUUUAAUGGGAUUUUUGGUGUGGUCCCACCAUCAUCAUCUUCCCUGUCAUGGUAAUCCCAUCCUACAUUGGAAGGGUUUUAUGGAAUUUCUGGCGUGGUCCCACCAUCAUCAUCUUCCCCAUCAUGGUGAUCCCAUCCUACAUUGGAAGGGUUUUUUCGGGAUUUUUGGUGUGGUCCCACCAUCAUCAUCUUCCCUAUCAUGGUGAUCCCAUUCUACAUUGGAAGGGUUUUUUGGGAUUUUUGGCAUGGUCCCACCGUGGCUGUCACCAUCUACCCAGUCAUGGUAAUCCCAUCCUUGAACCAAAGGGGUUUUUUUUGGGAUUUAAUGGAAUUUUUGGUGUGGUUCCACCAUGGCUGUCACCAUCUACCCAGUCAUGGUAAUCCCAUCCUCGCUCCAAAGGGGUUUUUGGGAUUUAAGGGUGUUUUUGGCUUGGUGGUCACCACCAGACCUUGGCUUGAGCUGCUCCUGGACCUCUCCCCUGUCAGAUCUUGGCCCUGAUCCUGGUGAGGAGGCUCCUGGAUUUCGUCUUCUCCCAGCACGACCUGGCCUGGAUCGACAACAUCAUCCCCGAGAAGGAGAAGAAGAAGGAGGACGACAAGAAGAAGAAGAAGAAAGGCAACAAAGGCGACAGCAGCAGCGACGAGGAGGUGGGCGCGGGGUCACCGGGGGCUCCCGGGGACAGGGGGACACCCCAGAGCCGGGCAGGGUCACCCGGGCAGUGUCUCAGCUCUGUGUCCCCCCAGGAAAGAGGGCCUCCCCCCGGAGCUCUGCGUUCUGACUCGUCCCCGAACGGCUCCGACAUGGACCGCAGGUAACCGGGACCCCGAUCCCAUCCUUGGGGGGAAAUUUGGGAUCCCC